rnacentral:rRNA from 1 species
GGGAUUGCCCCAGUAGCGGCGAGUGAAGCGGCAAGAGCUCAGAUUUGAAAUCGUGUUUCGGCACGAGUUGUAGAGUGUAGGCGGGAGUCUCUGUGGAGCGCGGUGUCCAAGUCCCUUGGAACAGGGUGCCUGAGAGGGUGAGAGCCCCGUAGGGUGCUGCGCGAAGCUUUUGAGGCCCUGCUGACGAGUCGAGUUGUUUGGGAAUGCAGCUCCAAGCGGGUGGUAAAUUCCAUCUAAGGCUAAAUAUUGGCGAGAGACCGAUAGCGAACAAGUACUGUGAAGGAAAGAUGAAAAGCACUUUGAAAAGAGAGUGAAACAGCACGUGAAAUUGUUGAAAGGGAAGGGUAUUGGGCUCGACAUGGGGGGUGCGCACCGCUGUCUCUUGUAGGCGGCGCUCUGGGCGCCCUCUGGGCCAGCAUCGGUUCCUGCUGCGGGAGAAGGGGCUCCGGAAAGUGGCUCUUCGGAGUGUUAUAGCCGGGGCCAGAUGCCGCGUGUGGGGACCGAGGACUGCGGCUUCUGUCUCGGAUGCUGGCAUAAC